rnacentral:rRNA from 1 species
UACGUAGGGGGCUAGCGUUGUCCGGAUUUAUUGGGCGUAAAGAGCGUGUAGGCGGCCAGGUAGGUCUGGUGUGAAAACUCGAGGCUUAACCUCGAGAUGUCAUCGGAAACCAUUUGGCUAGAGUCCGGAAGAGGAGAGUGGAAUUCCUGGUGUAGCGGUGAAAUGCGCAGAUAUCAGGAAGAACACCAAUGGCGAAAGCAGCUCUCUGGGACGGUACUGACGCUGAGACGCGAAAGCGUGGGAAGCGAACAGG